rnacentral:tRNA from 1 species
GGUGGCUCAGUGGUGGAGUGCUUGCUUUGCAUGCAUGAGGUCCUGGGUUCAAUUCCUCAGCACCA